GAUGAACGCUGGCGGCGUGCUUAACACAUGCAAGUCGAACGGAAAGGCGAUGCUUUUGCGGGGUGCUCGAGUGGCGCGGGGGUGAGAUACACGCGAGUAUCCCGUCCCUGUCUUUGGGAUAACAUUAGGAAAAUGCGGAUAAUACAGGAUAGGAGAUCUUGAAGCAUGGUGGGGGUUGGAAAGUUUCGGCGGUAUGGGAUGGACUAGCGGUUUACGAGCUUGUUGGUGGGGUAGUUGCAUACAAGGCCUUCGAAAGGUAGCCGGCGUGGGAGGGUGACCAGCGACAAGGCGACUAAGGGAGGGCGCAGACGCGUACGGUAGGCAGCAGGGGAGAGUAUUGCACAAUGAGGGGAAGCCUGAGGCAGCGAUGUCGCGAGCGUGAUGACGGCCUUCUGGUGGUAAACCGCUGUCUCCUGAGACGAAGCGGUAUCGACGGUAAUUAAUAAAGAAGCACCGGCUAACUACGUG
rnacentral:rRNA from 1 species